rnacentral:rRNA from 1 species
CAACCUGCCCUGUACUGUGGAAUAAUCAUUGGAAACGAUGACUAAUACCGCAUGUGGUCCUCGGAAGGCAUCUUCUGAGGAAGAAAGGAUUUAUUCGGUACAGGAUGGGCCCGCAUCUGAUUAGCUAGCUGGUGAGAUAACAGCCCACCAAGGCGACGAUCAGUAGCCGACCUGAGAGGGUGAUCGGCCACAUUGGGACUGAGACACGGCCCAA